ACGGCUCAGUAACACGUAGUCAACAUGCCCAGGGGACGUGGAUAACCUCGGGAAACUGAGGAUAAACCGCGAUAAGUCACUACUUCCGGAAUGGGUAAUGACUAAAAUCUACAUGGCCCCUGGAUUGGACUGCGGCCGAUCAGGCUGUUGGUGAGGUAAUGGCCCACCAAACCUGUAACCGGUACGGGCUCUGAGAGGAGGAGCCCGGAGAUGGGCACUGUGACAAGGGCCCAGGCCCUAUGGGGCGCAGCAGGCGCGAAACCUCUGCAAUAGGCGAAAGCCUGACAGGGUUACUCUGAGUGAUUUCUGUUAAGGAGAUCUUUUGGCACCUCUAAAAAUGGUGCAGAAUAAGGGGUGGGCAAGUCUGGUGUCAGCCGCCGCGGUAAUACCAGCACCCCGAGUGGUCGGGACGUUUAUUGGGCCUAAAGCAUCCGUAGCCGGUUCUACAAGUCUUCCGUUAAAUCCACCUGCUUAACUGAUGGGCUGCGGAAGAUACUAUAGAGCUAGGAGGCGGGAGAGGCAAGCGGUACUCGAUGGGUAGGGGUAAAAUCCGUUGAUCCAUUGAAGACCACCAGUGGCGAAGGCGGCUUGCCAGAACGCGCUCGACGGUGAGGGAUGAAAGCUGGGGGAGCAAACCGGAUUAGAUACCCGGGUAGUCCCAGCUGUAAACGAUGCAGACUCGGUGAUGAGUCGGCUUCUUGCCAACUCAGUGCCGCAGGGAAGCCGUUAAGUUUGCCGCCUGGGGAGUACGGUCGCAAGACUGAAACUUAAAGGAAUUGGCGGGGGAGCAC
rnacentral:rRNA from 1 species